UACGUAGGGGGCUAGCGUUGUCCGGAAUCAUUGGGCGUAAAGCGCGUGUAGGCGGUCCGGUAAGUCCGCUGUGAAAGUCGGGGGCUCAACCCUCGGAUGCCGCUGGAAACUGUCUGGCUUGAGUCCGGAAGGGGCGAGUGAAAUUCCUGGUGUAGCGGUGAAAUGCGCAGAUAUCAGGAGGAACACCAAUGGCGAAGGCAGCUCGCUGGAACGGUACUGACGCUGAGGCGCGAAAGCGUGGGGAGCGAACAGG
rnacentral:rRNA from 1 species